AGAGUUUGAUCAUGGCUCAGAUUGAACGCUGGCGGCAGGCCUAACACAUGCAAGUCGAGCGGAAACGAGUUAUCUGAACCUUCGGGGAACGAUAACGGCGUCGAGCGGCGGACGGGUGAGUAAUGCCUAGGAAAUUGCCCUGAUGUGGGGGAUAACCAUUGGAAACGAUGGCUAAUACCGCAUAAUACCUACGGGUCAAAGAGGGGGACCUUCGGGCCUCUCGCGUCAGGAUAUGCCUAGGUGGGAUUAGCUAGUUGGUGAAGUAAUGGCUCACCAAGGCGACGAUCCCUAGCUGGUCUGAGAGGAUGAUCAGCCACACUGGAACUGAGACACGGUCCAGACUCCUACGGGAGGCAGCAGUGGGGAAUAUUGCACAAUGGGCGCAAGCCUGAUGCAGCCAUGCCGCGUGUGUGAAGAAGGCCUUCGGGUUGUAAAGCACUUUCAGUCGUGAGGAAGGUGGUGUAGUUAAUAGCUGCAUUAUUUGACGUUAGCGACAGAAGAAGCACCGGCUAACUCCGUGCCAGCAGCCGCGGUAAU
rnacentral:rRNA from 1 species